GAUGAACGCUGGCGGCGUGCCUAACACAUGCAAGUCGAGCGAGACGCUUAGAAUUGACACUUCGGUUGAUUUUCUAAGAAGAAAGCGGCGGACGGGUGAGUAACGCGUAGGCAACCUGCCCCAUACACAGGGAUAGCCUCGGGAAACCGGGAUUAAGACCUGAUAAUACAACCGAUAUACAUGUAUCUGGUUGUCAAAGAUUUAUCGGUAUGGGAUGGGCCUGCGUCUGAUUAGUUAGUUGGUAAGGUAACGGCUUACCAAGGCAGUGAUCAGUAGCCGACCUGAGAGGGUGAACGGCCACAUUGGAACUGAGACACGGUCCAAACUCCUACGGGAGGCAGCAGUGGGGAAUAUUGCACAAUGGGCGAAAGCCUGAUGCAGCAACGCCGCGUGAGCGAUGAAGGCCUUUGGGUCGUAAAGCUCUGUCCUUGGGGAGAAAAAAUGACGGUACCCUUGGAGGAAGCCCCGGCUAACUACGUGCCAGCAGCCGCGGUAAAACGUAG
rnacentral:rRNA from 1 species